AGAUUGUUUGGUGAAAUAUUGAGAAUUUGUUUUUCACGACCCUCUGCAAGCACCCUCAUAAUGUUUUGGAAUGCGACAUGUGAGGCAAAACUUUUGUUGCCUAUUUGUUGUUAAUUUUCUUCGUGUCUAAAAAUUUUCAUCUUGAAGAGUUUUUAGUUUAUACCUGAAUUGGUGGGCAGUGGCUAACAGCAAGAGCAAUUACUACUAGCUAAUACUACAAGUCAGGAAUGACAAAGAAAAACUCUUAAGAUGAGUGAAGAAACUUAAAAAUUUAUUAUCUUAAUUUUUAAGCCUUCCUCACCCAUCAUUCAAAUUUUUCAUUCACUCCCUUACCCCAUUUCCAGCUAUCGAGUCCACCAUAUGAGUAACUAAAUUUCAAUGUUAGUACCUCUUUGAUACCUGUCUCUAAAAUCUCUCACUCCUCCUGAGUGCUUGGAAAUUGAGGAACUGACAAAAAGUGUUCUUCGAUUCGUCUCUCCAUGAUGCAUCAUCUAAAUGAAGGAGAAGUGAUGAUUUUAAAUCUAAAGGGGUAUCCUCUGGAACUUCAGUAACCAGUGAAAAACUGCAGCAUCAAAUAGUUGGCGUUGCUUAGAUGACAGUAGAAGCUUCAGGAUAAUUAAUGAGCCUCCUGCUCGGUGAAUGAUGAUCAUUUUUUGUCUGUCUCCAGCACCAUUUGCAAUAAAUGUCUGCUUUGAUUUCUAAAGGAAUCUUGAUUCGCUCCUUUUCUUCUCUUCUUAGAUGAGAGAAUACGCAGCACAAUGUUCAGACACCUUUAUGACGCAGUUCCAUGUGGGGGUUACAAGUACUGUCUCAUAUUUUGUAGUUUUACUAAUGGUUUUAAUGUUUGUUUUUAGGUUGUCGGAAAAUCGGAAGCUACAUUUCGUUCGUGCGUUAAUUAUUCGCUUGGUUUUUGUCUGUUUUGCUAACUUAAUAAAUUGGAAGAUGCAAAUAUCCAGUUGGACGUGAAUAUUAAGUACAUUCCAAUGCGUGGGAGGAGGACAAGCUGGGGCCGUGGGCAUGUAGAACCACCCACCGAAAUAAUUGCUCCACAACCUGCACAGUAACCUCCACUGCAGCCUCUACCACAACCUCCACUGCAACCAGCACCUGCAUCGAUUCCUCCACAGGAGCCAUGAUGUCUGGGAGAAAUAACAAUCAGUUCCAAAGAGGAGCCGCCAUCCGCAGACACAUUGAGAACUGGAAAGUGAAAGUAUUUACAACAUCGGAACUUGGCAACCAUAAAAAUACAGAUUUUAUCACUAUUUUAUCAGAUGAAUAAAGGAAAGAAGGGCACAGUAAUUAAUUUCAAGGUGUAAUUGUUUCGAUCCAAUGUUUGUGUGGAUGUUUGAUGGGUUGCAGAAACACAGAAUUUUCAGAGGACAAUAGACCAAUUGCAAGUCUCUGAUAGCGUAUCUUCUAGAUGAACCAAGCUCAAAUUGGUUGUAUCAAAAAGAGAAAAAAGUCAUCACAAGAAGGAAUGUAAUUUUCUAGGUGUAUUUUCAGGGCUGAUCUCGAAAAUUACGUUGGGUUUUCCGGAUCCUCACGGUAUGCUUGGAAAAAUCAAAUUUUGCAUGUACUCGAAAAAAAAUCGCAGUUUACCUCAGGAAAUUCAGUUGUUUGGGAACUGAGUAAAUAAUACAGGACAGGGGAAAGGAAAGGAGAGCCAAUUAUCGCAUCAACCUGAGUGGAUCACUUAUCAUUUUGUUACCAUCUAAAUUUAUGUUGAAUUGUGUGAUUCUCGGAUGUGACAUAUGUGUCUUCUUUUCUUUUCCCCAAUUGGAUGUAGGUGAUUGUCAAAUGCACCUUUUCAAAAUCAUUGCGAAAAGCCCACCUAGAAUCAGUGACAAAUUUUAGGCGAACCGAAGUGUCUGUCGACCAGUAGCCUGAUUAUUGAUGCUCAUGUUAGCACAAAAAGACUUACAAAAUCGAUCAGAUAAAGGAUUAUCAUUUGUUAGCCUGGCGACAAAGCCUGAUAAAGCUUUAACAAUCAGGCUGUAGUGUCUCAUGGUUGCUUGAAUGGAUUUAGGCGAGAAUUACAUUUUUGCCGGUAAAUAAAGAGCAAAGAGGAGACUUGGAUAUCAGAAGUGACAACAAAUUUAUUAAGGAUAUUUUUGGUAAACAGGCAUUAGUGCCAUUAAGCCCAUUUUCAGGAGUACAAGAUUUCUGAAUCCUUGUAAGAUGGUGUAUCCAAUAAAAUGAAUGUAGCUUAUACAUGUUUCUGUACAAUAGAAAUGAACUAAAGAUCAUAGAGAGAGAAUGGAAUGCGAAUUUUGCAAAGUUUUCAUGUUUAUCGGGGAACAUAUAACCCUGAUCCACUGUAUAGUUGUCAUCUCUACCCCUGCAUCAUCCAUGCGUUGGUAACUAAUGGACAAAGACUUCAGUACUCUAAUUUUUCUGUUUAAAAUGAGAAAGGCGACAUGUUUUUAGUGACAAACCCACCCCUCUCAAUUACCAUUCAUGUUGAAAAAAAAAACUUAAAUAAUAAGGAACAUAUCAUCUCAGCAGCAGAAAGUCUCUUGCCAAUAAAAGAACUUGUGCAUGUUUUCAAACAAAACACAAAAUAAAAAAAAACAAAGAAAAAAAAUAUGUUAGAAACCUGCACAGGGCAGCCAUCUGCUAUUUUCCACACCCCUUUUAAAAGGUUCAGCAAGUCACAAAGGAAUUAAAGUUUAGGGGCAGUUUAACUAAUGGAGGAAGUACAUGGUGUUCAAUCCUCAAUUAGGGAUUUUCUCCAAAAUAGAAUUUUCGGUAUAGAAUCUUUUACUGUCGAAAACUCAAUGCUGAGGUUCAAAUUGAAACAAACUCUACUCCUUAGGUGCUCGUUAUGUUAUCACAAGCCUGUACCAUUGAAUAGAAAAGCAUGAUGAUAUGAUAUAGUUAUGUUUACAAUGAAAUAUCAUCAUUGAUUGAAGUUUACUGUUUUUCAAAUUCGUGAUUUCAAAAUCACUCUUAUGUUCUGAACUGUACGAAAUUCCCUGAUUUGUUACCUUGGACGUUUUUUUUUCAAUCACAGAUGCAGUAGAUUAAACGGGAUGGCGGCUCUUCCUGCGUUGUUACCUUGGACUUUUUUUUUCAUUCACUGAUGCAGUAGAUUAAACGGGAUGGCGGCUCUUCCUGUGACGAGCCUGACAACUAAAUGUUUGAAGCAGGCAGCCUAGAACACAUGUCUUGAAAGAAAAUGCCAACUAUUUUCGUUCCUCAAUGAUUACUUUUAGAUGGAAUUGACGCUGCGCAAAAUUGUUUUACUUCUCUCUUACUGCCCUUUUUAAACAACAUAUUUUUUUUUUUAAAUUUAAUGGUCAUUUUGUUUACUUGCUAAUUUUAAUAUUCAGUUAUUAGUGUUUGAAUGCGUCAGUGAGUUGCUAGUGUAACACUGAUUUUUGUUCCUAUUUUCGAAAACUUGAAUAAAUUUCAUGCGCUCAUGUAAA